AUGAAUUAAUCAUAACAAUGUUGUCGAUGAUAAUUACUUUUAAAUUUCGUAUCGAAAGUCUUGGAAAUAUUCGAUACAUAUGUAUCAUUUAAAUUAUUCGACGCCUUCGUUUCUGCCAGGUUCAUUGCAGAUGUAUAUGUAAAUAUGCGUUUUUAUCAAAUAUUCCCUUUUUACGAGCUACGUAUUGUUUUGCUUUACACUUUCAAAACUGUUACGACUCUGAAGAAUUUCAAGACUUUGUAUUUUAUUUUAACCCUAAAUUAACUGGAAUUACAGCGAUUAACGAAUCGCUUACGAUCGAGCGAAAAGUUCUUAAUAAGACAAGCAGGCUUGGAAUGCUCUGCCAAAACGGUGUCAAUUACCAACUAACAAAAUCUAAAAUAACCCUUAAUAGAGGCCAUGGUGAUCGAUGAUACCUCAUUAAUUUUCGACAUCGUUGCGAUAGAGAUAAUAGAGUAGGAAGAUUCUUUACGCGAAGACAAAUCGACGAUCGUCAUUGUAGAAACUCGACAAAAAUGAGAAUGUCAAGUGGAACGUUGUAAAAAGAACAUGAACGUCAGGAUAAAGUUACGAGUCGUAUUUAUAAGAUCCGCUAGCAAGAAUAGAAGAUCGGAAUUGCAUUCAUCCACCGUCAAUUUUCUUUCGAAGAAAUAGAACGCGUACCAUCCGGGCCGAAAUUUAAACUACAGGUGUACCAUACUUUGCUUCUCGUUAAAUAUUAACUUGUAACUAAUUUAAUUGCUAUUUUCGAAAGUGGAACUUGAGAAUUUUCGAACGUCGGAAUGCUGAGGUCUCGAAGUUUCAAAAUACGAAGUUUCGGAUCUAUUGAAAUUCGAAAUUUCAGAUUUCAACAUUUUCGAAAUCGAGUAUCUGUUCAUAAAAGUUGAAGAAGCCUUCCUUUUCAGAGAGUCGAACUAGAAUUUAUAUUUCGACUCGGAAAGUUAGCAUUAUUAAGAAGGAACGAUGGAAGCAUCGAUUUUAUGUCACCGAACAAAACAAUUAUGACGAUCCCAUUAUAAAUGGGUCAGAAACGAUAUUUUACAGGGUAUGCGAGAUAUCUCUCUCUCUCUCUCGAAAUAGACGAAGGCCCGUAGCCGGCAAAAAUAACGCGUAUACUCCUCGUGUCACGCGAAACCUUUCUUCGUCGUUUCGAUAAAUACCUAUCGGUUCACGUUUUCUCGAUAUAUCUAAUUUAUUUAGCUUCGAUAAGCUUCGUACGCGAACAACGGACGAUCAGAUUUCCAUAAAAUAUUUUUAAUUCAUAAACGAUACUUUUGGAAGAAGGAAGCGGUUGUUUCUACGUCACAUUGUAAAAUGUCCCCGAACUAAAUUCAGACACGUCAAAACGACGUUGUUUCGAACUGUUUAUUGCUUGGCUCGCUACUGGCUAUAUUGAAACUUGAACUCUAAGAAAAUCUUGUAAAAAUUUGUUGGCAAUGGCAAGAUCUUUCGACAUUACAUUGUCAAAAAUCCAGCGCAAAAUACCUUCGAACUUUAAUUUUCACCAUUUUUUUUUAAACUUAGGCAGUAAAUUCGAUCUAAAUCGAUGUCUUAGUCGUUUCUAGCGUGAACGAUUACUCAUCGGAUAGAUUUAGAAGGACGAUUGUAACGAGUCUUACGCUGAAUGUAGAAUGAUUUUUUUUAUUUUUAAUGAAACGUUUUCGAAAAAGCAAAAAAUAUAAGGGAUACGAGCUUGCGUGGUUGUGUGACCCUCUUGUAUUUGAGUAACCCAGAUCUCGUUCACGAAAAUAGAAUAAGAUAGCAAUGAACAGGCCGCAACGUGUUCGUGUGCGUUUUAUUGCAAUGCGUUAUUAGUCAGUCAUACUAGCGGUAUAACUCUCCUUUAGUCUCUAGAAAUCGUUUUCUUCCUUUCGUUGCGUUCUGCCAUUGCUCUUCGGACGUGCAGUCGCGUCGUCUCGUUCACGAUCUCGAGAGCAAAGAUCUUCUUGCAUUUGCCCUUUUUUCGGUGCAGUCGUGUCAGACACACGAGACCUAGCUCUAGUUUUACGGACGAUGUCAAGGUUGGCACACGUCGCAAUUCGAAAUCUAGAUCGUCUUACGUUGCGUUUCAUCUUGACGGACGUUCAAUUUCGUCGAAUGAUCGAAACGUUAACCUUAAAAACCCUGAGGGAAGGUCGAACGAUGCUCACAAAGAGAUGUUUACACGAAAUAACUUGCGUAGGUCGGCGUUGAUUUGAUUUUCUGUUAGGAAGUGAUUUUAAACGGACUAUCCUACUCCAUCUUUCCUGUUUGGUUUAUUCGAACAACUUGUUAACGAUGUAGGUAGUUUAAACAGAAGAGAAUAACGUUUAACCUAGCCAGUUUCCUUCGGUUGACCUUAAACCUUCAACCUUCAACGUCUUGUGAUUCCUAGAGUUAACGCAUCGAUCGCUGUUGAAAAGUCAUUGCAGAUCAAUAUCAGAUAUCUAAUAAAUUUUAUUUCAAUUAAUCCCAUAUUAAUAUCGAUUAUCCUAUAGAGUAGUACGCGUUGUUCUUUUAAAUUUCGCAGCGAGAGCGAUAAGAGAAGUUGCAGAUAGAUUAAUUGUAAAAGCUUAAAUUUCAAGUACCACGGUGUCGAUCAUUCACGAUCAGCAUGACAGUGAACGUGUUAUGGGACUUUUUCGAAGUACAUCAAUCCAACGAACAUCUAUUUUUGACGGUGAUGCACGGUUAAUGGAAUUCGAUCGACGAAAUACAAAAGGAUGCAAACAAAUACCGCGCACACAAACUAAGAAACAGAUGAAAAAUGUAUGCAUAAAACUAUAAUGCUUCGAAGAAUUUGUACUUUUCAACAAGUUGGACACUAAAAUCGAACGUGGAUGUCUAAACACUGAGAACGCAAUAUGUGGCAAACAACGAAAGAAAACUGGAAAUGGUGAUACGAAAUCGUUUUGGAUCACAAUAUCUGUCGAGACAAAUAUUUAUUCGGAAAUAAUCUUACGAUUUGUGGGACUCUUUGUAUUGCCGAAAGAGUAUCCUGAAUUUUUCCGUAAUCGAAUUUAUAUCGAGUGAAGGACACCUGCAUUUAUUACAAGGACAUUUAUUAUCAUUUACGAAAAAGAAAACAGAAACGUAUCCCUAGUGUUUUUCGUUGAAGUCUAACGACAAGUUAUGUUCAAAAAAUCAGUGCUAACAACUAAUAAUAUUUUUCCGUUACAGAUCCUGAAGUAAAGAUCUCUAAUUGACAUAUGAAACAUGCGGAUUUCAGUUUCUGGGUUUAUUGCAAAUAAGAAUACAAUAUGUGCGAGGAAAGAAGACUAGAAAUAGUGUUCCGAAAUCGUCCUGGAUCGUGUAGUAUUGGAUCGGAGCGGUGGUUUCGAUGCAAAAGCGAUAUUUAUAGCGUGGCAACUGCCUCUACGUGGACUUUCCGGCAUCGUGGCGGGCCAACAAAAAUAUAUUCACACUUCGAACAUCCCGCUGAUAAAGGCGACUUCGAGCGAAACCACGUUAUUAACUUUUCAAAUCCAUCUCGAUCGUAAUUUUAAACAACGGAAUCGAUAGCGAUUACAAGCGCGAUUGCGAAUGCGAUUGGUUAGCAUAUUGACUGUCGUGGAGAUCGUCGGUGAUCGACAACUCGAGUUUAUAUUAAUCGCAUAGGAUAACAAACAGAAAAGUUCGAACGAAAAUUAAAACGAACAUGUCUUAAAUAAUUGUAGUUACACAGUGCCAUGUCUAUCGCGAUAUUAGAAAGUAAUGUCGUAUCAGACGUUUUGUCGUCAUCCAUUGUAUCGCGACAUGAUGCAGUCAAUUAUGAUAUCGUCAUCUGUUAGAUCACUGCACGAUACAUUGCCAUAUGUACUUAUUACACAUUUAUCUGUCUUUACAAAUUAUUCGGUUUCAUUCGAUUCGAAAUGUUCUGUUGGUUACCGAUUCAACUCUUAGCAAUUAGCGAGUUAACUGCAGGAACGAUAUUACGCGUGAAACGAUCUAAUGAAUUUGAGAGACAACCGAGUAAACGAAUAGAUUAACGGACGGAAUGAAAGCCGGACUUGAAUGAACAAAUAGUCCAGCCGUUUCGACAAAUAGUUCGAACCGCUUUUAACGAAGGCGCGUACAGUUUGGUAUAACGCUAAAUGAGAGCUUCGAAGCUUCAAAUAGAUAUCUACAUCUUUUUUAAACGAUCGGUGAUUGUCCUUUAUCUAUAACCGAACAAAUGUUUUAACACUCGUUGCAUCGUGCUGUCAUCUUAAAAUAGCGGUCGGAAAUAGCGAAUUAAGUUAGAUAAACAUUUCGUCGUCCUAUAGCUUCACGGUAAUUCGACUAUGAAUUAUUGAAUUUCAAAGCGACCGAGUAAUUUCAGAAUCGUCUUCAACUUGCCAGAUGCAAUCCCUCUAACACUUUGAAAUAUGAUUAUUUCUAGUUGUUUGUGCAUCUAAAUGUGUCGAAUAAUGCUCGCGAUUAUCUCCAAAGUGUUACACACGGUACAUACUUCUCAUGAAGUAUGAUUUAUCCAAUUAGAUAUUAACAUUAAAAAAAGUUUUUUCCUCGACAAUAUAAAAUUUUCUAUUUCUAACAUAUUUCUUAUCCCUUAAAGAAACGAGAAAUUUAGACUAGGGAUAAAAAAGUCGGUGACUUUUAAAUCCGACUACGUCGCUGACUGAAGCUACCGAAUGUCUCUAGUCUGAAUGAAUAUGUCCCUCGCCAUAGUCGUAUAAAAAUUAAGAUCUACAACUUACAGAUAAAAAGUUUGAUAUUAUUUCAAAAAUAUCUGUCUAAUGUAUCCUACUAUAUUUAAUUAGAUAAACUAUAGGGAAUCAUACUGAUUUCGUUGUUCGCUAUUGUAAAGUUAUCGAGAGCGUAAAAACCGCAAGAAAAUUGUUAGUCUCAUAGAUAGAUUGAGACGGACGGUAAGCAGGCUGUGUCGUAUCGGUCGAAAUAGCAGUCUAUACUUAGCGAAUGGUUUUGGCGUUCUCCCGCACAAUUUUCUUCGGAAUUGUCAAUUUCCUUUCGACUACCGAACACGUUCGAUUUUGCUGUGUAUCCACGUUCGACGCGUGGACGUAAAAUAUCAAAGAAGAAAAGAUUAUCGAAUGAAAUUACCAGUAGUAUAUUGUCUCUGACAAUUGAAAAUUACCGAACAUCGGCGAGAGUUUACUGAAUAGCUACGGAAAGGUCUGGUACAACUUCCUGAAGUAGUUCGAGAUGUUGUGUUAACGGGUCAACGACUUCGUUGGAAGUUUAAACUAACUAGACUAAGUUAGAAGUAUUAUAGUUUAGAGAAUCGAAUUGCUGAUAAAGUAUAAAAGACGAUUGAUCGGGGCUGGCAACGAGUUCAUUAGCUGCAGCUAACUUCUUGUUUUAAACAAAUUUUCUCCCUACACUUGUUAAAAAGUAGAAAUAAUAAAAAACAAAAUGAAAUAGAAGUAUAUACAAUAUUGAAGAGAAUAGGUAGAGAUUCAUUCUUGUUACGUUUAAAUCCUUAUUGAGGCUCUCUUUGAACAACGCAUCGCUCUUGCGAUACAUGGACAUGUGACAUGUCCUUACGAGUAAGAGCAUAAAUUGUCCGAAAAAUAUUAAAAACAUAACAAGAAAUGAACAAUUGACUGGUUGAAUUACCUAUUUGUUAGACUGUUGGCCAAUUUUUUCAUCUCGUUUUUAGAUCGAAAGAACAAACGCGAUCUCAUAACGUGUAUAUCGCUUGAAAGAACAAUUGUCUUCGGUUAGUGAAAUUCAAAGCCAAGUCUCGAAUACCUACUAUAACAAUUUGUCGUGGCAGAAACUGUUAGAAGAAACGGUUAACUCGCAUCUAUCCGCGAUCGUAUCUCAAGGUAUAUUUGUGUUCG